ACUCCCGGGGCGUUCCCGUCUCCGUCAAACGAGUCGGAGCGCACCCAGAGCGCACACGUUAGUACCCGAAAGAUGGUGAACUAUGCCCGGCCAGGACGAAGCCAGGGGAAACCCUGGUGGAGGUCCGUAGCGAUUCUGACGUGCAAAUCGAUCGUCGGAGCUGGGUAUAGGGGCGAAAGACUAAUCGAACCGUCUAGUAGCUGGUUCCUUCCGAAGUUUCCCUCAGGAUAGCUGGUGCCCAGGUGAGACGAGUCUCAUCCUGUAAAGCGAAUGAUUAAGGCAUUGGGGGUCGAAACGACCUCAACCUAUUCUCAAACUUUAAAUAGAUGAGAACUCCGGCUUGCUCGAAAAGUGAAGCCGGAGAUUCGGAUCAGGUGCCCAGUGGGCCAAUUUUGGU
rnacentral:rRNA from 1 species